UGCGUCAAAAAAGUUGAGAAAUGUCAGAACAAUAAGUUUCAGAUGAAAUUAUCAUAUUGGAUAUUAACUAUAUAUUUGACUAUAUUUUCUAUUGUAUAUUUAAUAACUGUUGGAAUUCUUAUAUACAUUUAUGAACUUUUGGAGCAGGCAAAGUAAUAAUUCCCAUUUGGUAAUUUCUAAUUUCAGUACUUAAUUGUGGCGUGCCUAGGCAACAAAACAAUCUCUAGUGAAUUUGUUUGAUUAUUAAAUUUAGUUUCUUUUUGGAAUGUUGUGACCCAUAAAAAUUAAAGAAAAAGUCUUGAGGUUUGGAUAACUACUAGAAAUUGGAAAAACCAACCAUCCUCUGAAAGUCAAUUUUGGCAGUUCCUAAAUUUGAAUACUGAAUGGAUAAUUUUCAAUUUAAGGGACCUUUUUCAUCUUGGACAUCUGUAUGCGGCUUAGCACAAAUGGAUGAUGCUACUACUAUUUAGCACAAGGACGAACAAAAAGUGAUUGCUUGAUAAAAGAAAUAUUAACAUUGAGUGCUGAAAAAAAUUAAAACAGAGGAUUUGGAAAACCGUUCUAGGAAAUACUCAAGAAACUGGUGAAGAAGACAAAUGAGGAUUUGGAAGUGUUCAGAACAAAAAAUGAUUUUUGCACACCCAACUUUGUGGAGUCUGUGUUUUGUGAAGCAUGCGGAGUAAAUAUUUGAAUAUUCCGGACUCUAGUGAAUCAUGUUUUAGGCUACUUUCGCAGAAAAUCAGUUGUUUCCUGUUAAAGGAACAUAUGCUUUCACAUAUGCAGUUAUAUAUCUCGAAGUCUUAGCAACAACAGUCGGUCGUUGCGAAGAGGAAAGUUGUAUCUCGAACUCAACGCAUAAAUCACUGAUGAUGGCUGCCGCAGUAGCAGACGAAACGUUUGUUACUUCAGGUCCAAUUCGACCGCGGCCCAUAGUCCGGUUUUUGUUUUCAUCAAUUGUUCCCUGUUAGUUUAUAGUACUUGGCCAUAUUGUAAUAUUUUAACUGAAGAGAAAUGUUGUCCGUCAAGGAAUUUUCUGUCUUGAAAUUUGCGAGAUGGAAAUUUUCAGGUAGUUUUUGUCAUUGCAAGGAGAUUAUUCUGGUUAUUCAAUAGUAGAAGCAGAUUCAUACAUUCAAUAUACCUGUAAAAUAAU